rnacentral:rRNA from 1 species
AGAUUGAACGCUGGCGGCAGGCCUAACACAUGCAAGUCGAACGGUAGCACAGAGAGCUUGCUCUCGGGUGACGAGUGGCGGACGGGUGAGUAAUGUCUGGGAAACUGCCUGAUGGAGGGGGAUAACUACUGGAAACGGUAGCUAAUACCGCAUAACGCCUUCGGACCAAAGUGGGGGACCUUCGGGCCUCAUGCCAUCAGAUGUGCCCAGAUGGGAUUAGCUAGUAGGUGGGGUAACGGCUCACCUAGGCGACGAUCCCUAGCUGGUCUGAGAGGAUGACCAGCCACACUGGAACUGAGACACGGUCCAGACUCCUACGGGAGGCAGCAGUGGGGAAUAUUGCACAAUGGGCGCAAGCCUGAUGCAGCCAUGCCGCGUGUAUGAAGAAGGCCUUCGGGUUGUAAAGUACUUUCAGCGGGGAGGAAGGGGAUAAGGUUAAUAGCCUUGUUCAUUGACGUUACCCGCAGAAGAAGCACCGGCUAACUCCGUGCCAGCAGCCGCGGUAAUACGGAGGGUGCAAGCGUUAAUCGGAAUUACUGGGCGUAAAGCGCACGCAGGCGGUCUGUCAAGUCGGAUGUGAAAUCCCCGGGCUCAACCUGGGAACUGCAUUCGAAACUGGCAGGCUUGAGUCUUGUAGAGGGGGGGUGGAAUUCCAGGUGUAGCGGUGAAAUGCGUAGAGAUCUGGAGGAAUACCGGUGGCGAAGGCGGCCCCCUGGACAAAGACUGACGCUCAGGUGCGAAAGCGUGGGGAGCAAACAGGAUUAGAUACCCCUGGUAGUCCACGCCGUAAACGAUGUCGACUUUGGAGGUUGUGCCCUUUGAGGCGUGGCUUCCGGAGCUAACGCGUUAAGUCGACCGCCUGGGGGAGUACGGGCCGCAAGGUUAAA